rnacentral:rRNA from 1 species
UACGGAAGGGGCGAGCGUUGUUCGGAAUCAUUGGGCGUAAAGGGCGCGUAGGUGGUUCUGUAUGUCUACCGUGAAAGCGUACGGCUCAACCGUAUUUUGUCGGUAGAAACUGCAGGACUUGAGGCUGGGAGGGGCUGGUGGAAUUCCCUGUGUAGCGGUGAAAUGCGUAGAGAUGGGGGAGAACACUCGUGGCGAAGGCGGCCAGCUAGACCAGUUCUGACACUGAGGCGCGACAGCAUGGGGAGCAAACAGG